UAUAUGUAGUGAUUAAUUAAUAAUAAAUUUCAUAUUUGUUCCUGUUUAAAGUGUUUUAUGAAUUUCUUGAACAUAUUGAACAUUCUGUCAUUUAUUUUGCCCCCUCAGAAAAUUUUUCUUAUAUUGGUGUCACUGUAUAAUCUUAAGUAUUUGCACAGAAAAAACAUACUUCUAAUAGUAAAAGUCAAAGCAGUUAGCUCUAGGCAGGAAGGAACUUUAUUACAAUUAAAAAAAUGUUUCACUGCCAGAUACAUAGCACCAACUUACUUCCUAGAGGAAAGCCUGGGUUAAAUGAUUCAAUAACAAAAUGCAGGACUAUAACAUACUGUGUCUUCUUUGCCUAAUUUUUUAAUGAAACUACAUCAUAAAGACCCUCAACCAAGAGAAAUUAUUGCAGCCUGU
rnacentral:lncRNA from 1 species